GGCAAAAUCUAAGUCUAAGGAGACCAUUUUACAACGUCAAGACGGUGGUUAAACAACAUUGCGGCGAGAUAUUGGGACGCCAUCGCCAUGCUAAAUCACCGUGUCAAAACAUUAUCAUUGCCAGUCUUUACAGAUUAGGUACCCCUUCGAAGAGAAUAGCAAAACAACGGAGCCAAGAAAUUCUGGGUUCGCCGAUGAGUGGUUGGAAGCGUCGGCCUCUCCCACUCUCCGACGUCGUCACCGGGGGCGAAGAUAUCACACGUACUCCCAGCCGAGUUAUUUAAGCUCAAGAAGGAUCCUCUACGCUCUGCGUUCAGCUCUCUAAGGAGGGAAAAUAAAGACUGUUCCUA